rnacentral:rRNA from 1 species
UACGAAGGGUGCAAGCGUUACUCGGAAUUACUGGGCGUAAAGCGUGCGUAGGUGGUUUGUUAAGUCUGAUGUGAAAGCCCUGGGCUCAACCUGGGAAUUGCAUUGGAUACUGGCAGGCUAGAGUGCGGUAGAGGGUAGUGGAAUUCCCGGUGCAGCAGUGAAAUGCGUAGAGAUCGGGAGGAACAUCCGUGGCGAAGGCGACUACCUGGACCAGCACUGACACUGAGGCACGAAAGCGUGGGGAGCAAACAGG